UACAGAGGUCCCAAGCGUUGUUCGGAUUCAUUGGGCGUAAAGGGUGCGUAGGCGGCGCGGUAAGUCGGGUGUGAAAUCUCGGAGCUUAACUCCGAAACUGCAUUCGAUACUGCCGUGCUUGAGGACUGGAGAGGGGAGUGGAACUCCGAGUGUAGAGGUGAAAUUCGUAGAUAUUCGGAAGAACACCAGUGGCGAAGGCGGCUCACUGGCCCGGUACUGACGCUGAUGUGCGAAAGCGUGGGGAGCAAACAGG
rnacentral:rRNA from 1 species